AGAGGACUCCAGCUGUUUUCCGGCCCUGGCAGCAGAAGCGGCUGCAGAGCCUCUAAUGUUCCUUCUCUGGAACCAGCGCUGAUCGUGCUGCUGCUGCUGCUGCCAGAGAAGGAUUUAAGUCACCUGGACUGAGGAGAAGACCGCUGAACUGUGUAAAGACGGUGGAGCCAGAUACUUCAGGCUAUUUGAAGCCAUCAGAGGGGAAGGAACCAGACUUGGGGUUCCUCCACCCGAAGCGUGUUGCCCGCAUGGUUGACAACCACGUACUGAUAUUUCAAGACUCAGCUCAAGCAUAAUAAUCUCUUUCUGAAGCUUUUCCUGAUAGGCUGCCUGGCCCUUCUAUACCUGUAACAUUGUUAUUUCAUUUAGUUAACAUUGGAAAUGAAGAGCCCGCUGUGAUGGUGUGAGGAUCCCCCCCCCCCCGCCCCCAAACAUGUGAAAAUAACUCAGCAAAAAACAGAGCAGCUGCCUGGUCAUCUUCCCCAUCGCUGGGAUUUCUUCAGGUAACCAAUAAAUAGGAGCAUAGAGUUGGUAGAGGGAGCCAAUGUUUCCAGAAGAAACUGUGCCACUCCAAAGGGAAAUUAGAAAAGGAGAAAGUGACCCUUGAAUAAAGAAGAGUUUAUUCAUUUAAAGACCCCUCUCCGGGAUUCUUGGCAGGAAGAGUUCACUUUCCUGCUGCAUCAGGGAUUGGAAGGCUAUUCCUCUGUCCAUGGUCCUAUUCCUCUGCUUCAAACAACUUUAGAAGAAUCCAGAGGGAGGUUCAAAUCUGCAAUGUAGAAAAGCAUUGAAGUGUUCUAGAUACAGCUGAGAAGCUGAGAGAAGACGGAAUUUGUGGGUAUAGCAGAUCUUUGGAAUCUUUGAAAAGAAGUUCUGUCUGCAGUAGAUCCCACCAGCAGAAGGGGAUCCUGCUGGACAGCCAUUCUUUUCAAUAUUGAUGAACAGCAUCUAUCCGUGGAGUGAGCUCCACUUGAGCUGAAGCCUGCUUGUCACAAGAUGGCUGCUGUGACUCCAGGCAUCGUGAUGGUGCUCAAGAUAGCCAAAUCUGUCCCCAGAAGGCUUUCUCUUAGGUCUCGUUAGCCAGAAAUGAAUCAUUCCUGGCUGCAAAGGAGAUGGGGAAAUUGAGUAUCUAGCGAAAGAGAAUGGGAUUAUUAUAAUUGAAUUGUACUGAUCAUGAUUCAUCACUUGGAGCUGGACAUAUUGUCACCCUCAACAAAGUCAGGGCUCUGUUAGCAAGGAGGAAGAGAACAGCUGUUGGAGAGGGAAGUGACACAGACUGCCACACUUCUUAUUCCCAGCCUACCUGUCUCACUGAAUAGCAUCACCAUCUGCCCAGUGCCUGAGCCAGUAACAGAGGAGAGAGCUUGGAUUCCUUUGUUUCUCUUAUGUCCCCCAUAAAAAAAUACCACACAGUUCUGUUGACUCUACUUCCCCUGUGUACCCCAAUCCACUCUAUUCGCCUUUAGUCACUGGUAUCCUAGUUCAAGCUACCAUUGUUCACCUGAAUUACUGCAACUGCCCCCUAAAGAAACAGAAACAAUCACUUCCUUGUCUAGAACCUCCCAUCGGCUUCCCAUCUCAUCUAAAAUCCAAAUUUAUUACGCUGACCUUCCAUGCCUAGAAGAUCUAGGUUCUGCUCACUGGUCCAACUUUAUCUUGUUCCACUUUUCUGUUUGCCCCUGACUUCCAACCAUGCAGGGUUUCUUUCUCUUCCUCUGACGCUAACUUGUUACCGUCUUGGGAACCUUGGAACCACCUGUUUUCUCCAUCUAGAGUGCUAUGCAUUUCUGAUCUUUUCAUGACCAGCCCCUCCUUGUCAUUUAGAUCACUGUUCAAAUGUCAUCUCUUCAGAGAGGUCUUCUCUGGCCACCAAUCUAAAACAGCAAACUGGUUGGUCAUCCGUCACUUCAUCCUAUUUUAUUUCUUUAUGUUUGCACCUACCACUGUCUAACAUUAUCUUAUUUACCUCUUUAUGUGUCAUGUAUGAAAUGUAACUAUUUGUUUCCCACCUCCUUCACACUAGAAUAUCAGCUCCAUGACAGGAGAGACCUUGUGUGCUCUGUUCACAGCUGUAUUCCUAGCACCUAGAUCAAGGCACAUGGCAGGUUCUCAUCAAAUAUUUCCGAGUGAAUGAAUACAUGAGGGGAAAGAUUUUUUUUAAGCGGAAACUUUAGCAAUAAAAGAACAUCUGUAAACUAUUAUCAGCAUCCUUAGAGUUGUCCUUCACAGAGAAAAAUAACUUUGUUAGUUGAAAGAUGUAAAAUGUGUUAUGCUUUAAAGACAUCACAAUUAAUAAGCAAUACUAAUUUCUUCCACACAGCCUCUUUCCUCCUGUGUCCUACUUUCCAAAGCUUAACAAGCCGCAUGUCUUCAUGCUCCAUCAGUGCAGUUACUAAAUGCCUUCUCCAUUGACUUCUCUCUUUUUGCUCCAAUAAUGUGAUUACCUUUUCUGACCAUUUUCUGAAGUUCUGGGACAAUUUAAGAGAAACGUUUGGGCGAUGUCCUCCUUUCCUCCGUUUUUUUGGCCAGAAUUUCAAGACGGGGAAAACCAAAGUGUUCUUGGACAAAGAGAGAAAUAUUUAGCAUCUAAAAUUUUCUGCCUUUUUGUGAGGUUUUCAUAUUUCUGUAUAUGUUCUUCCUAAAGGCUAAAACCGUUUGUACUCUCUUCACCAGAAAACCAGACUUUUUGUAAGACUGUCCUUUGGGUAAAAUGUUAAAAUUGGAGAGGUUGAUCGGCAGCCUUCGUUCAUUUCCCUCCAUGAUCCUUUUAGUCCUUUCCACACCUUCUCAGUCCUGAGGCGACCGUUUGUAAGCCCAGGCUUCUGGACAUCCCGUGCACCUGGCGGGCCAUGGCACAUUGAAAUUGGGCACCAGAAGCUUUGAGAAGUUCAACCUCUUCACACUGGGGAUACAGCACUCCGGUGAUGGAGAUCCAGCAUACUCUAACAUGCCCCUAUGUUUAGAAACGUUCCCCAAUACUGCUCAUAAAUUACACACAAAGAAUCCCGGGGUGUCUGAACUUCUGGACUUGUCAACAGAAAAUAGCACGCAAAAUGAUUCUCAUCCUCAAAGGUCUUCUGCGAAUACAUCAUAAACAAGAAUAAACUGUUCCUCUGUACUUAACACAAUCUCGGCCUCUUGCCUGUCCUCACCUGCCAUCACCAACCCCCCCCCCCAACACACCCAUGUCUAACUUCACACCUACAUCUUAGCACUUGGACAUUCACAGGCCCCUGAAACAAGACAUAUCCCAAAAUAGCCUUGGCAACAUUUUUGAUCAUACAUCCGUAAGAAAUGUGGCGAUGUGCACCCCCAAAAUACAUACAUU